AGGGCACCACCAGGAGUGGAGCCUGCGGCUUAAUUUGACUCAACACGGGGAAACUCACCCGGCCCGGACACCGGAAGGAUUGACAGAUUGAUAGCUCUUUCUUGAUUCGGUGGAUGGUGGUGCAUGGCCGUUCUUAGUUGGUGGAGCGAUCUGUCUGGUUAAUUCCGAUAACGAACGAGACUCUAGCCUAUUAAAUAGACGUCGGGUUCUCUGCACUCGACGGUCUUCUUAGAGGGACAAGGUGCUUUUAGCACCGCGAAACAGAGCAAUAACAGGUCUGUGAUGCCCUUAGAUGUCCGGGGCCGCACGCGCGCUACACUGAAGGAAGCAGCGUGUAACAACCUUGUUCUAACGAACUGGAUAACCCGUGGAACUUCCUUCAUGAUUGGGAUAGGGGUUUGCAGUUGUGCCCCUUGAACGAGGAAUUCCCAGUAAACACUAGUCAUCAGCUAGUGCUGAUUACGUCCCUGCCCUUUGUACACACCGCCCGUCGCUACUACCGAUUGAAUGGUUUAGUGA
rnacentral:rRNA from 1 species